CAUUGAAGAGUAAUCAGAUAUGGUUCUUAGCGGCGGACGGGUGAGUAACGCGCGGGCAACCUACCUCUAACUGGGGGAUAACACAGGGAAACUUGUGCUAAUACCGCAUAAAAUCAUAGGAGGACAUCCUCUAAUGAUCAAAGGAGCAAUCCGGUGAGAGAUGGGCUCGCGUCCGAUUAGGUAGUUGGUGAGAUAAGAGCUCACCAAGCCUGCGAUCGGUAGCCGGACUGAGAGGUUGCUCGGCCACAUUGGGACUGAGACACGGCCCAGACUCCUACGGGAGGCAGCAGUGGGGAAUUUUGGGCAAUGGGGGGAACCCUGACCCAGCGACGCCGCGUGAGGGAUGAAGGCCUUCGGGUUGUAAACUUUUUUGGAUGGGGACGAAGAAGUGACGGUACCCAUCGAACAAGCCACGGCUAACUACGUGCCAGCAGCCGCGGUAAUACGUAGGUGGCGAGCGUUAUCUGGAAUUACUGGGUGUAAAGGGCGUGUAGGCGGAUAGAUAAGUCGGAUGUGAAAUUCUGCGGCUCAACUGCAGCUUGUCAUAUGAAACUGUUUAUCUUGAGUGUCGGAGGGGAAAGUGGAAUUCCUAGUGGAGCGGUAAAAUGCGUAGAUAUUAGGAGGAACACCGGUGGCGAA
rnacentral:rRNA from 1 species